ensembl:lncRNA
AGAGGGAAGUCGCAGUGCUGAGAGAUGCAACCGUGCCUACACACUAAGGUUCUUCCCCCUAAAAUCCCCCACAGUUGCUACUGCCAGUUCAGUCCCCAGGCGCAGCCGUGCUGCGGAAGGUGGGAUGCGUUGAGAUGCAGCCAGAGCAGUUUGCCAAAGGGAAGGUCGCUGCGAUCCUGCGACACCUGUUCCUGGUGGAGCUGGUUGGAAAACCUCGGAGCAGCUUUCCAUUGGAAAAUGCAGCCCUGUCAAAAUCAAGCCGCUCUGCAAACUUGUGUUGGUUUCACUGAAAAUGUCAUUUAAAAAAGAACUCUGGAGUUCUGUGGCUGCUUACAAGAUUUCCCCAUCUCUCCUGGUCAAGAGUCUUUUCUGCAGCCGCCCCAUGUGAUAAGCUUGGAGGUAUUGCUCCUUUAUAUCACUUCAUC